GCAUUGGUGGGUCAGUGGUAGAAUUCUCACCUUCCAUGAGGGAGACUCAGGUUCGAUUCCCGAUCAAUGCA
rnacentral:tRNA from 1 species